GUGGGGAAUUUUGGACAAUGGGGGCAACCCUGAUCCAGCAAUGCCGCGUGAGUGAAGAAGGCCUUCGGGUUGUAAAGCUCUUUUGUCAGGGAAGAAACGGUUCGGGCUAAUAUCCUGGGCUAAUGACGGUACCUGAAGAAUAAGCACCGGCUAACUACGUGCCAGCAGCCGCGGUAAUACGUAGGGUGCAAGCGUUAAUCGGAAUUACUGGGCGUAAAGCGUGCGCAGGCGGUUGUGCAAGACAGAUGUGAAAUCCCCGGGCUUAACCUGGGAAUUGCAUUUGUGACUGCACGGCUAGAGUGUGUCAGAGGGGGGUAGAAUUCCACGUGUAGCAGUGAAAUGCGUAGAGAUGUGGAGGAAUACCGAUGGCGAAGGCAGCCCCCUGGGAUAACACUGACGCUCAUGCACGAAAGCGUGGGGAGCAAACAGGAUUAGAUACCCUGGUAGUCCACGCCCUAAACGAUGUCAACUAGUUGUCGGGUCUUAAUUGACUUGGUAACGCAGCUAACGCGUGAAGUUGACCGCCUGGGGAUGUACGGUCGCAAGAUUAAAACUCAAAGGAAUUGA
rnacentral:rRNA from 1 species